rnacentral:lncRNA from 1 species
GACAGAAUCAAAACCAAAGAUUGAUCAGGAAGUUCAUAAUUCCCGCGAUUCCAUGAUAGAGCAUCUUUGGCACGGCAGGAUCAUUGACUACAGAAUACUCAGCUGUAUUGUGACACAACAGGACGCACUCCAACCUCUGAUUAAGAAUCGUGAACAAAUGGGUCAUUUUGUUACGAACAAGCCAGAAGACAAUCAAACAACUGGCCAAGUGGAAGUGGCUCAAGUGUUGGCACCAACUACAGAUGAACAUAUAGAUGAAGACUCAGACGUCAACAUGGACCAGUCGGCGUUGUACCAACCGUAACAGGAUACUGUUGUCAAACUGUCACAGCUCAGCCUCCUCUUCCUCUUCCUCCUCCUAGGAACCAGUCUAACAAACCAAAAACCAACCAAAAUACAACCUAAUGAGAACUAACUGGCUAUCAACAAGGAUCUAUGUUCAACAAACCUGACAUUCAGCCAUCAAGCCAAUGACCAACCAACUAGACCCAACAUUCAGCCAACCAACGUUUGACCAACCAAGAAAUAACCAAUAGACAACCAAGCUGACAUUGAACAAACUACUAUCCAACCAACAGACAUCAGUCUCACUCAGAAAGAUCCCCUCUAUCAGUCAAUCACAAAACAACUACCUGCUAUCCAACCAACAGACAUCAGUGUCACUCUGAAAGAUCCCCUCUAUCAGUCAAUCAUAAAACAACUACCUGCUAUCCAAUCAACAGACAUCAGUCUCACUCUGAAAGAUCCCCUCUAUCAGUCAAUCAUAAAACAACUACCUGCUAUCCAAUCAACAGACAUCAGUCAAUGGAGACAACGGUUGUUCUUCAAUAAAACAGAAGCUUCUACAGUCGUCUGGUUGAAGUGUGUUAAA